rnacentral:rRNA from 1 species
UACGUAGGGGGCUAGCGUUGUCCGGAAUCAUUGGGCGUAAAGAGCGUGUAGGCGGCUCGGUAAGUCCGCUGUGAAAAGUCCAGGGCUCAACCCUGGAAUGCCAGUGGAAACUGUCGAGCUAGAGUCCGGAAGAGGCGAGUGGAAUUCCCGGUGUAGCGGUGAAAUGCGCAGAUAUCGGGAGGAACACCAAUGGCGAAGGCAGCUCGCUGGGACGGUACUGACGCUGAGGCGCGAAAGCGUGGGGAGCAAACAGG